rnacentral:rRNA from 1 species
GAGUCUUAAUUGGGCGUUAAGUUGCAGGGUAUAGACCCGAAACCCGGUGAUCUAGCCAUGGGCAGGUUGAAGGUUGGGUAACACUAACUGGAGGACCGAACCGACUAAUGUUGAAAAAUUAGCGGAUGACCUGUGGCUGGGGGUGAAAGGCCAAUCAAACCGGGAGAUAGCUGGUUCUCCCCGAAAGCUAUUUAGGUAGCGCCUCGUGAAUUCAUCUCCGGGGGUAGAGCACUGUUUCGGCUAGGGGGCCAUCCCGGCUUACCAACCCGAUGCAAACUGCGAAUACCGGAGAAUGUUAUCACGGGAGACACACGGCGGGUGCUAACGUCCGUCGUGAAGAGGGAAACAACCCAGACCGCCAGCUAAGGUCCCAAAGUCAUGGUUAAGUGGGAAACGAUGUGGGAAGGCCCAGACAGCCAGGAUGUUGGCUUAGAAGCAGCCAUCAUUUAAAGAAAGCGUAAUAGCUCACUGGUCGAGUCGGCCUGCGCGGAAGAUGUAACGGGGCUAAACCAUGCACCGAAGCUGCGGCAGCGAACGUAUCACUUAAAGCGAUUCAGCGGGUUACGAUUGACGGAGCGAAGCGACGUCAAAGCGUAUACAAAGUCGAGUCGGUUUAAGGAUACGUUCGUUGGGUAGGGGAGCGUUCUGUAAGCCUGUGAAGGUGGCCUGUGAGGGUUGCUGGAGGUAUCAGAAGUGCGAAUGCUGACAUAAGUAACGAUAAAGCGGGUGAAAAGCCCGCUCGCCGGAAGACCAAGGGUUCCUGUCCAACGUUAAUCGGGGCAGGGUGAGUCGACCCCUAAGGCGAGGCCGAAAGGCGUAGUCGAUGGGAAACAGGUUAAUAUUCC